CUAAUACAUGCGCAAAUAUCUUUUUUCGCAAGAAAGAGGAUAGUGUUUAUUAGAUACAGAACCAAUACACCAUCUGUUAACAGCAGGUGGUGUAAAAAAGGUGAUUCAUAGUAACCGAACGGAUCGCAUUAUGGUCAUUUUAUAUGGCUGGCGAUAGAUCAUUCAAGUUUCUGACCUAUCAGCUUUCGACGGUAGUGUAUUGGACUACCGUGGCAGUGACGGGUAACGGGGAAUUAGGGUUCGAUUCCGGAGAGGGAGCCUGAGAAACGGCUACCACAUCUAAGGAAGGCAGCAGGCGCGCAAAUUACCCAAUCCUGACUCAGGGAGGUAGUGACAAGAAAUAACAACACUGGAAAUUUUAUUUCUAGUGAUUGGAAUGAUGGGAAUUUAAACCCCUUUCAGAGUAACAAUUGGAGGGCAAGUCUGGUGCCAGCAGCCGCGGUAAUUCCAGCUCCAAUAGCGUAUAUUAAAGUUGUUGCAGUUAAAAAGCUCGUAGUUGGAUGUCUGCUGGAAGCAAUCAGUCCGCCCUAUUUGUAGGGUGUGCACUU
rnacentral:rRNA from 1 species